rnacentral:snRNA from 1 species
AGCUUUGCACAAUGGCAGUAUCGUGGCCAAUGAGGUUUAUCCGAGGUGCGAUUAUUGCUAAUUUGAUAGAUAUAUAUAUAAUUUUAUAUAAAAUUUAAAAAGCUGCUGAGUAAUUCUGGAUUUUGUUCUUAAAA